AUCCCAUGGUGUGGACAUCUCCAUUAAAGAUCCUUGUAUCUCUCCCAUGCUUCAUACAAGCUCUUAUCAUCUCUAAGUCUGACAGAAGUUAACUCAUUUAUCAGUUU